AGCAGAGAUAGCAAGCGAUUAAUCAGCCUUCCUUCAUGCUUUCUGCCUUCAAGCUUCCUGCUUGAGGUCCUGCCCCAACUUCCUUCAGUGAUGGCUUGUGACCUGGAUGUGUGUGGCAGUUAGUGUUAAAUUUGUUGUUGGUAAACACCAUGACCAAAAGCAAAUUGGGGAGGAAAAGGCUUUUGGUUUUUAUUUUUCUUUCAAAAUAUUUAUUUAUUUAUUUACUUAUUUAUUUAUUUUUGUUGUUGUUUUUUUGAGACAGGAUUUUUUUGUGUAGCCCUGGCUGUCCUCAAACUUGCUCCAUAGACCAGGUUGGCCUCGAACUCAUAGAGAUCUGCCUGCCUCUGUCUACAAACUGCUGGGAUUAAAGGCACACAGCACUACCACCCGGCUCAAGGAAAGGGUUUAUCUUGCUUACAAAAGUCAUAGCAGGAGCCCAGAGGAGGGAGUUGAUGCAAAGGCCAUGGAGAAGGUGUGUUGCUUACUGUCUCAGUCCAUGCGACUUGCUCAGCCUGUGCUUGCUUUUAGAACCCAGGACCACCUGCCCAGGGGUAGCCCCACCCACAAUGAGCUGGGCUCCCUCCGAUCAAUCACUAAUUAAGAAACUGCACUACAGGCUUGCCCACAACCCUAUCUUAUGGAGUCAUUUUCUCAGCUGAGGCUCCCUUCAGAUGAUUUUAGCUUGUGUCAAGUUGACAUGAAGCUAGCCUGCGCAGUGUAAGAAAGCCAACCGAACCCUUCCCCAUUGCUUUUAGUUACAGUGUUUUAUUUCAGCAACAGCAGAGGCACUUGCCGGUACUGAGGUCUUUUGCUUCACGUUGAGCUGAGUUUUGUUUGUUUGUUUUUUUGCUUUCGGGACAGGGUUUCUCUGUAUAGCCCUGGCUGGACUGGAUCUCACUUUGUAGACCAGGCUGGCCUCGAACUCAGAAAUCCGCCUGCCUCUGCCUCCCAAGGGCUGGGAUUAAAGGCGUGCGCCACCACGCCCAGCGCUUGAGCUGAGUUUUAAUUCCAGAUAUGUCUCUGCAAGCAGAGUGACUGUCACCGAGGGACUUCGCUUCUCUUAGUCUUACAUUCUCUAUCUCUAAAAUGAGGUUACAACUAACCCCCUCAUCGGGUUGUAGUAAGGAUUAAGGUAGGUAUUGUCUGUAAAGAUGUUAAUACAAGUUAUUCUUUUCUUAAUUCAUUGUGUUGAUUAAUCUUCAUUGUCAACUUGAUUGGGCCUGGAAUCAUCAUAGAAACACCUUUAGGUGUGAGUAUGUGUGUGUGUGUGUGUGUGCGAGCACUUGUGUGUGAGAGAGUUUCCAGAAAGGUUUAACUGAAGAGAGAAGACUCAUGCUGAUGCAGGCUGUAUUACAUUUGGGGUCCCAGGAGAAUCAGACAGAGACAGGGGGCUGAGCAAACAUAGUCAUCUCUCUGUUUCCUGACUGUGGGCUCUGUGGCAAGCUGUCUAGAGUUCCAGGCCCCAUGCUAUCCCGACCAUGAUGGAUUGAACCCUCAAGCUACGAGCUAUGAUACAUCCUUCCUUUCUGGAAGUGUUUAUUAGGUAUUCUGCCACAGCAAUGAAUAAAAUAAAUAAUACAUUUACUUUUAUUGUUUCCAGUGAAUGUAGAUUACAGAACAUCAGAGUCAGAAGGUCUGAGGGCCUGGUCUCAGGCAAAAAUUAUAUUUACAUUUAUCUUGAACUCAGGGUUGAAGCCAGAUUUUAGAAGACUGUUUAUUCUGAACCAGAACUUACUGGAGUUGCUCUUAUUUUAGUUCCUGGAUCCUCUCAUGAGAUUUGAAAUGUGAUAUUUCCAGAGGGAGUUUUCAGGAAAACCCAUGACAUCAUAGUACAGAGGACACCAGAUGGAAUUGCCUCCAGGCAAAUAGGUCAACACUCUCCAGUAAACCAAAAUCCAGAUGCACGAGAGAGACCCGGUGUUGCUGACAUUCUGUCUGUUGUUGGGUUUUCCCAUGGAAUGUUCCUCCUAGCCACUCAUGGGAAGUCAACACCCACGAUCAAAAGGAUCAGUUCCGAUAUAAGCUAAGCUGGGUUUUACUCAGAUUGGCUCUGUCUUCCUGAGUAGGCUUAAGCAGAUCUAUCUUUCGUAUACAUCUGAGACCUCAGGGACAGCCAGCCUCAGCCUGGGAGAAAUGAACAGAAGGGUCUCAGAAGGCCUAACAAAGGCUACAGUAGGCAAUCAAUAUUGGGUAGGGCCUGGCAGAAGAAUC
rnacentral:lncRNA from 1 species